rnacentral:rRNA from 1 species
AUGAACGCUGGCGGCGUGCCUAAUACAUGCAAGUCGAGCGAACGGACGAGAAGCUUGCUUCUCUGAUGUUAGCGGCGGACGGGUGAGUAACACGUGGAUAACCUACCUAUAAGACUGGGAUAACUUCGGGAAACCGGAGCUAAUACCGGAUAAUAUUUUGAACCGCAUGGUUCAAAAGUGAAAGACGGUCUUGCUGUCACUUAUAGAUGGAUCCGCGCUGCAUUAGCUAGUUGGUAAGGUAACGGCUUACCAAGGCAACGAUGCAUAGCCGACCUGAGAGGGUGAUCGGCCACACUGGAACUGAGACACGGUCCAGACUCCUACGGGAGGCAGCAGUAGGGAAUCUUCCGCAAUGGGCGAAAGCCUGACGGAGCAACGCCGCGUGAGUGAUGAAGGUCUUCGGAUCGUAAAACUCUGUUAUUAGGGAGGAACAUAUGUGUAAGUAACUGUGCACAUCUUGACGGUACCUAAUCAGAAAGCCACGGCUAACUACGUG